CAGGCCUAACACAUGCAAGUCGAGCGGACUUAUCCUUCGGGAUAGGUUAGCGGCGGACGGGUGAGUAACACGUGGGCAACCUGCCUGUAAGAUCGGGAUAACUACCGGAAACGGUAGCCAAGACCGGAUAGCUGGUUUCUCCGCAUGGGGGAAUCAUGAAACAUGGGGCAACCUGUGGCUUACGGAUGGGCCUGCGGCGCAUUAGCUAGUUGGUGGGGUAAUGGCCCACCAAGGCGACGAUGCGUAGCCGACCUGAGAGGGUGAUCGGCCACACUGGGACUGAGACACGGCCCAGACUCCUACGGGAGGCAGCAGUAGGGAAUCUUCCGCAAUGGGCGCAAGCCUGACGGAGCAACGCCGCGUGAGUGAUGAAGGUUUUCGGAUCGUAAAGCUCUGUUGCCAAGGAAGAACGCCUCGGAGAGUAACUGCUCUGAGGGUGACGGUACUUGAGAAGAAAGCCCCGGCUAACUACGUGCCAGCAGCCGCGGUAAUACGUAGGGGGCAAGCGUUGUCCGGAAUUAUUGGGCGUAAAGCGCGCGCAGGCGGUCUUUUAAGUUUGGUGUUUAAGCCCGGGGCUCAACCCCGGUUCGCACUGAAAACUGGGAGACUUGAGUGCAGGAGAGGAAAGCGGAAUUCCACGUGUAGCGGUGAAAUGCGUAGAGAUGUGGAGGAACACCAGUGGCGAAGGCGGCUUUCUGGACUGUAACUGACGCUGAGGCGCGAAAGCGUGGGGAGCAAACAGGAUUAGAU
rnacentral:rRNA from 1 species